rnacentral:rRNA from 1 species
UCGGGAUAACACCUGGAAACAGAUGCUAAUACCGGAUAACAACAGAUGAUGCCUAUCAACUGUUUAAAAGAUGGUUCUGCUAUCACUCUUGGAUGGACCUGCGGUGCAUUAGCUAGUUGGUAGGGUAACGGCCUACCAAGGCGAUGAUGCAUAGCCGAGUUGAGAGACUGAUCGGACACAUUGGGACUGAGACACCGGCCCAAACUCCUACGGGAGGCAGCAGGA